CAUUCUACAACUUACGAGAAUCCACCUCUCGAACUAUAUAAAAGCCGAAGAGACAGUAUGGUAUCAAAAGGAAACGGACAUUCCAUGUUAACAGUACUAGACUAUCAUUAACCAGGUAAAAAUCGAAAUCAUGUCUUUUAUCCCAGUACUUUGGAACCGCUACAACCAAAGGCAGAAUGAUUCUGAGGACAUGUUCCACUUCAUGGAUGACUGGAACCCAAUGCCCUUUAGCUGGGGGUUUGGCCGCCCCACGAUACAGAGAAGACGCAGACCUGAGAAUUCACUCGAGGAUAGAAAGUGGACCUACAGUGUGAAGCUUGGAGACUUCGAUGAACAACACGUCAAAGUGAAAGUAGAUGGUGGUAAGUAUUUAUUUGAUAAUAGCUGGGACGAUCAUAGAUAUUUGGCGACAGGACAUUUUUUUCUGAAGCCCUCGUCCUUGUUUUCUAUUAAUUUUAGGAAAAUGAAUAAAAUGGAAAUAACGUACGUGUAUGAAAAAUUUGCCUUUCGCUAUCAAUAUCAAUUUGUCUUUCCACAGCGGUCACUGAUAUAUCAUGAUGUACGAUAAAAACAAAAAUUAUGUGAAACCUUCAUGGAUUUUUAUGAAAUUUGUGUAUGACCAAAUUACAGUAUCCAGAGUAAAAUUUUGAAAUUAUUUAUUUUCAUUUAUCUGUUUCUGCUUAUAAACGGACUUUUUUUGCAGUUUUACAAGUAGAUAUAGUCUGGAGUUUAAGUUUGUUACGCAUCAAUUACUUUGUAAAAUAUUCAUAGAAAUCCAUGUGUAAAUUCAUAUAUUCUCGCAUAGUGGCUAUGCUUGAAAUAAGACAGCAAUUCAGAACAGGGUAUUUGUUUUCUUAGUAUUAAUGUUAGGGUAAGGGGAUGAUCGUUUGGUUUAUUGGGGCUCGGGUUAUGGACGAAACAACCGUUUAAUCCAAGAUUAUAUAUAUAUUAUGGAAUUCGAUAAAGUAAAAAAAUAUUCGUGAGCGCUUAAACUCAACAAGUUUUUUUUUUCUAUAAUUCAGGUAAAGUAAUAAUUCAUGCUAAGUACACAGAUGGUAAUGAUGAAUGGGGAGAUACUGUCGAGCGCACAAGGACAGUCCAGAUUCCAGAGAAUGUUGAUGCCGAAAAAAUUCAUAGCUUCAUGAAAUCUGAUGGAACUAUGAUGUUAGAAGCCCCGUACCGUGUGUCAGAGGAGAAGCAACUCCAAGUUGUCCCACAAGAAGGUCGGUCCUUGGUGGCCAGUGACAGCCACAGCAAUUUGAUGACAUUCAAUGUCGAAAAUUAUCGGCCAGAGGAGGUGAAGGUUUUAUGUAAAGAUGGAAUGUUGACAGCCCAAGGAGAACGAAAGAGGUCUGAGGAUGGUCAUGAAAUUCGUGAGUCGUUCUUUCGUCAGAUGACAGUUCCGCGGUCUGUGGAUGGGAAGAACAUCCAAUGUUUUAGAGAUGAUAAAGGGAAUCUUACUAUCCGGGCACCAAUGGCUGAAGAUGUUGAAAUGGAACAAGCCAAAAAGUAGACCCAUUGUAACUUUCAGUUGUACUUGAUUAAAUCAUUUUAUUAAUUACAGACUAUAGACAUUUUAACUCAUUUCUUUAUGAUUUGAUUUUGUGUUCAUUGUUAUUUUUUUGAAUGACGAAAAAAGUAAUUCUUGUUAAGAAGAAUAUGUGUAAAAUGUGUUUGCGAACCAAUAGUUGAAUGAUGCACACCGUCAACUCAAUAAAACUUGCUGUUUGUAAAUUUUUACCCUUUUUGAAUAAUAAAGAUAACAUUUUGAGAAAGCUUGUUUAACAAUCAUGUAUAUUUUGUAAAGGAAUAUAUCAUUAAUUAUAGUACAAUCAUUGACUAUUUGCAUAUGAACAAUCAUGUAGAACAAUCAUUAAAUAUCGCAUAAUUUUAGUUCAAUUUGAAAAAGAGAACAUGUUUGUUACUUUAUUUACUUUGUUUUUGUCAGAGAUAGACAUUAAAUAUCAUUUAUAAAAUGUUUUUAUCCCUUAUUUAACAAACUCCUAGGAAACAUUGAUUACUGCAAUAUUGCAUUUCAAAGUUCUUGUACUUUAGAAUGAUAUUCUUAGCUAAAAUUGAGAAAGGAAAUGGGGAA
rnacentral:lncRNA from 1 species